rnacentral:misc_RNA from 1 species
GAUGAAGAACGCAGCAAAAUGCGAUAAGUAAUGUGAAUUGCAGAAUUCAGUGAAUCAUCGAAUCUUUGAACGCACAUUGCGCCCGCUGGUAUUCCGGCGGGCAUGCCUGUUCGAGCGUCAUUUCAACCCUCAAGCCCCCGGGUUUGGUGUUGGGGAUCGGCUCUGCCCUUCUGGGCGGUGCCGCCCCCGAAAUACAUUGGCGGUCUCGCUGCAGCCUCCAUUGCGUAGUAGCUAACACCUCGCAACUGGAACGCGGCGCGGCCAUGCCGUAAAACCCCAACUUCUGAAUGUUGACCUCGGAUCAGGUUGGAAUACCCGCUGAACUUAAGCAUAUCAAUAAGCGGAGGA